GAUGAACGCUGGCGGCGUGCCUAAUACAUGCAAGUCGAGCGGACGGACGAUGAGCUUGCGUCGCUGAUGUUAGGGGAAGACGUGAGAAUAACGCGUGUAUAACGUACCUAUCAGACGGAGAUAACUUGGGAAAACCGGAGAUAAUACCGUAGAAGAUUUUGAAGCGCAUGGUGCGAAAGUGAGAUACGGUGUUGCGGUCACGUAUAGCUGGAUCCGCGCUGCAUUAGGUAGUUGGUAAGGUAACGGCUUACGAAGGCAACGAUGCGUGGACGAACGCAGAGGGUGAUAGGCGACACUGGAACUGAGACACGGUCCAGACUCCUACGGGAGGCAGCAGUAGGGAAUCUGACGCAAUGGGCGAAAGCAUGACGGAGCAACGGCGCGUGAGUGAUGAAGGUCUUCGGAGCGUAAAACCCUGUUACGAGGGAAGAACAUAUGUGUACGUAACUGUGCACAGCGUGACGGUACCUAAUAAGAAAGCACCGGCUAACUACGUG
rnacentral:rRNA from 1 species